rnacentral:lncRNA from 1 species
UUUUUAUUCUAAUUGUGGGGCCCACCUUCCUUUCUUCUUCUUCUACCUUCACACCAAUCUCCUCAAAAUAUCCAAACACCAUCGCCAACAAGCUGAAGAAGAGGACCAAGAAUCAUCUCCGGCGACGGCUCAUGACGCCCCCAUCGUUUCCCCCUACAACGCCCGGAUCCGGCCACUGCUGGACACCGUAGACAAGCUGCGCCACCUCAAGAUCAUGCAGGAAGGCAUCCAGCUCCCCAUCAUCGUCGUCGUCGGCGACCAGUCCUCCGGCAAAUCCAGCGUCCUCGAAUCCCUCGCCGGCAUCCGCCUCCCCCGCGGCGACGGCAUCUGCACCAGAGUCCCUCUCAUCAUGAGGCUCAAGAAUCACCCGAGCCCCGAGCCUCAGCUCUCCCUCGAAUUCAACGGCAGAACCGUUCAAACCGACGAAGCCAACGUCAUCGACGAGAUCAUGUACACCACUCAGGAAAUCGCCGGCAAAUGGAAGGGGAUCUCCAACACCAUGAUCGAUCUCCCCGAAAUCACUAGGGUUCCAGUCAAGAGCCAACCUCUUUGUCAGAAACCGCAUCGGCGACGAGACUUAUGAAAAAGUGAGGGAUGAAGAAGCCAACCUCUUCGACAAUAAUCCCCUGCUUUCGAGGAGAAGAAGAGGAAGGAGAAUGCGGUAGCGGCGGGGAGAGCGACUGCGGUGGAGAUGACGAGGGAGAUGAAUAUGAGGGUGGCAGCAGCGGUUUUCCUGGAGGAGUGGGGGUGGGAGGCGGUGGAUAGGAGGGCGGAGAAGCCAUUAGUGUAAAGGUAGAAGAAGAAGAAAGGAAGGUGGGCCCCACAAUUAGAAUAAAAAAUAAAUAAAAAAUUAACUAACUAACGGUUGACUGACGGNGUACCAAAAUCGAACAUUUAACCCCCUCCGCCCUAACUCCGUCAGUCAACCGUUAGUUAGUAAUUUUUAUUCUAAUUGUGGGGCCCACCUUCCUUUCUUCUUCUUCUACCUUCACACCAAUCUCCUCAAAAUAUCCAAACACCAUCGCCAACAAGCUAGAAGAAGAGGACCAAGAAUCAUCUCCGGCGACGGCUCAUGACGCCCCCAUCGUUUCCCCCUACAACGCCCGGAUCCUGGCCACUGUUGGACACCGUAGACAAGCUGCGCCACCUCAAGAUCAUGCAGGAAGGCAUCCAGCUCCCCAUCAUCGUCGUCGUCGCCGACCAGUCCUCCGGCAAAUCCAGCGUCCUCGAAUCCCUCGCCGGCAUCCGCCUCCCCCGCGGCGACGGCAUCUGUACCAGAGUCCCUCUCAUCAUGAGGCUCAAGAAUCACCCGAGCCUCGAGCCUCAGCUCUCCCUCGAAUUCAACGGCAGAACCGUUCAAACCGACGAAGCCAACGUCAUCGACGAGAUCAUGUACACCACUCAGGAAAUCGCCGGCAAAG